UGAAGUUCCACAGGAGCGACCUGAGACCACAUGAAUGAGGCAUAUUCACCAAUUUUUUAUUGGUGAUUUGGCUUUGGGUUCUAUUGUUCAUGUGUUCUCAGGUCGCCCCUGCCGGACUUCC
rfam:Beta vulgaris subsp. vulgaris Bvchr8.sca001.con0025.1, whole genome shotgun sequence.